UACAGAGGUCUCAAGCGUUGUUCGGAUUCAUUGGGCGUAAAGGGUGCGUAGGCGGCGCGGUAAGUCGGGGUGUGAAAUCUCGGAGCUUAACUCCGAAACUGCAUUCGAUACUGCCGUGCUUGAGGACUGGAGAGGAGACUGGAAUUUACGGUGUAGCGGUGAAAUGCGUAGAUAUCGUAAGGAAGACCAGUGGCGAAGGCGGGUCUCUGGACAGGUUCCUGACGCUGAGGCACGAAGGUCAGGGGAGCAAACGGG
rnacentral:rRNA from 1 species